rnacentral:rRNA from 1 species
AUACGGAGGAUGCAAGCGUUAUCCGGAUUUAUUGGGUUUAAAGGGUGCGUAGGCGGUUUGCUAAGCGGGAGGUGAAAUGCCGGCGCUCAACGUCGGAACUGCCUCGCGAACUGGUUGUCUUGAAUGCCCCUGCCGUGGGAGGAAUGUGUGGUGUAGCGGUGAAAUGCAUAGAGAUCACACAGAACACCGAUUGCGAAGGCAUCUCACGAAGGGGUGAUUGACGCUGAGGCACGAAAGCGUGGGGAUCAAACAGGAUUAGAUACCCUGGUAGUCCACGCAGUAAACGAUGAUAACUAACCGCUGGGUCGUAGUGAUUCAGUGGCCAAGCGAAAGCGAUAAGUUAUCCACCUGGGGAGUACGACCGCAAGGUUGAAACUCAAAGGAAUUGACGGGG